rnacentral:lncRNA from 1 species
GAUUUUUGUCAAAUUACAGAGGACCAGACAUUGUGAGAAAGUUUGAUUGCAUUCAAGAGCUGCCAGAGCUAAAGCUAGAAAAGAAACUAAACAACUUCUUCUCAUGAUCUGCUUAAUUGAUCUUCACAUUGAAUUGUCAACCUGUAUGCUACAUUGUAUAAUGACGUUGAGCAAAUAAAGAUACUGCAGUCAGCGUUACAACCUUCAUUAAACAGAAUGAAUUGGUGUUACAGAAAUGGAUAACAUAUGGAGACAAACACUUUCAGACUACUGAAACUACACAUUGUUUGAGACUAUGAGAAUGGCUUAUUUUCAUGAUGGAACUCAUAUCACAAAGAAAGAACUUGCUUUAUCUUAUUUCUUAUAACUAGUCCUCAAAGACAUACCCAAGUAAACUACAUCAGGAAAGAAAGCAAAGAAAGUUGAUUCAGGAUUUAGAAUUGAAUGUUUUUGUGUCAACAGUGUGUGAAAACUGCGAAAAAUAGGAUUUUAAUUUCAAGGAUUUGAUUUAGUAUGUGAAGGAGUGAUUUGUUUUUAAUUCAUCACACAAGUUAUUGACAAUGCUCUAAAAUAUAAAUAGGAUGUGUAAAUACAGACUUUCAUACCUAACUAAAAUAAUGUUGAACUCAACAGAAUAAACAAACUAGCAUCUGUUGUAUAAUAUAUUAGUUGUUUUAUCAAACUUUGUCAGUUUUGUUACAUUACUUAUCAUUGAUAGAAUAUAUUAUCUAAUAACUCUUUA